rnacentral:tRNA from 1 species
GCCUGGAUGGCUCAGUCGGUUAAGCAUCUGACUUUGGUUCAGGUCAUGAUCUCACGGUCUGAGGGUUCAAGCCCCACGUUGGGCU